UUGGAGAUUUGAUCCUGGCUCAGGACGAACGCUGGCGGCGUGCUUAACACAUGCAAGUCGAACGAUGAACCACUUCGGUGGGGAUUAGUGGCGAACGGGUGAGUAACACGUGGGCAAUCUGCCCUGCACUCUGGGACAAGCCCUGGAAACGGGGUCUAAUACCGGAUACUGAUCCUCGCAGGCAUCUGCGAGGUUCGAAAGCUCCGGCGGUGCAGGAUGAGCCCGCGGCCUAUCAGCUAGUUGGUGAGGUAACGGCUCACCAAGGCGACGACGGGUAGCCGGCCUGAGAGGGCGACCGGCCACACUGGGACUGAGACACGGCCCAGACUCCUACGGGAGGCAGCAGUGGGGAAUAUUGCACAAUGGGCGAAAGCCUGAUGCAGCGACGCCGCGUGAGGAUGACGGCCUUCGGGUUGUAAACCUCUUUCACGGGAGAAGCGAAAGGCGGUACGCGAAAAACGCGGUCAUAC
rnacentral:rRNA from 1 species